rnacentral:misc_RNA from 1 species
UCCCCGUUAACCGGGGCAGUCACCUUAGAGUGCCCAACUAAAUGCUGGCAACUAAGAUCAAGGGUUGCGCUCGUUGCGGGACUUAACCCAACAUCUCACGACACGAGCUGACGACAACCAUGCACCACCUGUCACUUUGUCCCCCGAAGGGGAAAGCCCUAUCUCUAGGGUGGUCAAAGGAUGUCAAGACCUGGUAAGGUUCUUCGCGUUGCUUCGAAUUAAACCACAUGCUCCACCGCUUGUGCGGGCCCCCGUCAAUUCCUUUGAGUUUCAGCCUUGCGGCCGUACUCCCCAGGCGGAGUGCUUAAUGUGUUAACUUCGGCACUAAGGGCAUCGAAACCCCUAACACCUAGCACUCAUCGUUUACGGCGUGGACUAC